rnacentral:tRNA from 1 species
GCGGAAAUAGCUCAGUUGGUAGAGCAUAACCUUGCCAAGGUUAGGGUCGCGAGUUCGAGUCUCGUUUCCCGCU